CGUGAACGCCGCAUGAACUCUCGGCGGUCCCUUUGAAGUGCAGUUUGUGGCUGGAGCUGAAGCUGCCCUCGGAGGCUAAAGCUCCCACCCCCACCCGCCGCCACCUUGAACUGGAAAAAAAAAUCAUGAUUGACUUUGAGGAGACAGACUUCAUUUUGGAAAAUCAGAAAAGAAAAAGAAAAAAAGAUCUCAAAAAAGACAAAAAACACAAAACCAACAUGACUGUGAAACCACAAGAGAGCAUCCA